GUAUACAUUGCAGGUACACCUAAUUGGUGGUUUCGAAGAUGCCUCACCUCAAUGUGCCAGUGAUGGUACUAGGGCAGAAAGAAAGGCAAAAUUGGAAGGCUAUUCCUUUCCUUUGUGUACAAAGAUAGUUGAAACUUUGCAAAA